GGUGCUUGCACCCCGCUGACGAGCGGCGGACGGGUGAGUAAUGCAUAGGAAACUGCCCAGUAGUGGGGGAUAGCCCGGGGAAACCCGGAUUAAUACCGCAUACGCCCUUUGGGGGAAAGCAGGGGAUCUUCGGACCUUGCGCUAUUGGAUGUGCCUAUGUCGGAUUAGCUAGUUGGUGGGGUAAGAGCCUACCAAGGCGACGAUCCGUAGCUGGUCUGAGAGGAUGAUCAGCCACAUCGGGACUGAGACACGGCCCGAACUCCUACGGGAGGCAGCAGUGGGGAAUAUUGGACAAUGGGGGCAACCCUGAUCCAGCCAUGCCGCGUGUGUGAAGAAGGCUUUCGGGUUGUAAAGCACUUUCAGUGAGGAGGAAAAGUUGGUCCCUAAUACGGGCCAGCCUUGACGUUACUCACAGAAGAAGCACCGGCUAACUCCGUGCCAGCAGCCGCGGUAAUACGGAGGGUGCAAGCGUUAAUCGGAAUUACUGGGCGUAAAGCGCGCGUAGGUGGUUUGAUAAGCGAGAUGUG
rnacentral:rRNA from 1 species